rnacentral:rRNA from 2 species
UAGGGUGGUUAUAGCAUUGGGGCUCACCUCUUCCCAUUCCGAACAGAGAAGUUAAGCCCAAUAGCGCCGAUGGUACUGCAUUUAUGUGGGAGAGUAGGUCGCUGCCUUUC